rnacentral:lncRNA from 1 species
GGAAUAAUGACCUUCUGAUUCCUCAGAGACACGGCAAUUCGCACAUAGCUGGCAUUAAAACCUUUCUUUUGGAUACUGAAGUCACUUUUAAAAGACACAAUCAUUUCAUUUCCAGUAGAAUUAUAUGAUAAUCCCUUUGCAGUGAUGCCACAGAGGUUCAUUGGGCUCUCUCCAUUGUCCAGUGUCAGUGAGUCAUAAAUGCAGCCUGGGGCUUCUUCAAUGUCAAAAUCACUGAAUGUUAGCUGUAUAAUGAAUCCGUGAGGUGCUCGGAUGAUCCAUUUACAAGCUUGACUGUUGGGAUAAUCACUUGGGUAGCAUGGAGAAGUGAAAACUCCAGAGGGGUCAGUUAGCACGGUCCUACAGUUGUAGCAUCCAUGAGCUGCUUGCUGCAUGCAUAUAAUAUACAGGAUAAACAAGUAGAGACAGUGCUGCAGCUUCCAUUUCCAGUGACAGCACCACAUUUCAUUUAUGUGAGACAUCAUGGUGACAUUACUGGGCGGCUCUCCUCCGGCUCUCAGCCACCAUCCUUCCCCUCCGCCGCUCGCUCUGCCUCUGGCCCGAUCCCUCACGGGCUCCUCGCAAAGGUCAUCGCUAUUUGCCCACCUCUCUUCCACACCCGCCCCCGCACACGCCGCCCGCGGUGGCCGUGACCGCGCCGAGCGCUCCUCCCCCCGCUCCUCGUCCUCCUCCUCCGGAGCCGCGGUACCCCCCCGUGCGGGACCUGCCCGGGGAAGCUCCGGGGCCGCGCUCCACUGCUCCGAGACGGAGCCCCGGGCCCCUGCUCUGCGGGCAGCCCGGGGUGCACAGCCCCAGCGGCAAUCGGAGCAGCGGGCUGUAUCCCAGACCCCGAGGCGGUCAAAGUGUGAGGAUUUUCUCCCAGUCGCACUACGGAUGGAAGAUAGGUAGACGGAGGUGACGCAUCC